UUAUCUUGUUUAGAGCAGACCCAGAGCUGCCCCAGUGCAGUUAAAACGAACAAGCCCAUUGUCUAAUCACCUAAAGCUCUCUCCAAGUCCUCCAUGGUUUUGGUGAUAAGUUGUUCUGUGUGUGACAGUUUCCCUGGUGGGAGGAGUGAAGACUGUUGCUGAAGUUUAUCGAUUUGUAAAAAAGUCGAAUAGAAUUACCUAAGGAAUUUCAACGUGGUCUAUAGGAUCUAGAGGGUUUGUGCCGAAUAGCAGGUUUUAAGCUAAAGACAUUCCACUUUAAAAAUAAAAAAGUAUAACGUUCAGUGAAGUAAACAUACCGGUUAAAAUAUCUAUAUUCUCACGUGGUAACGUUCAAUUAAAAAGACAAACAUGUCUGUUAAGUAUAUUUUUCCAAACGAGAUAUUAGAAAUAAUUUUCAAUUUCUGUGAUGUAUGUACUUUAUAUCAGCUUACUAUGGUAUGCAGACAAUUUAAUAUUGUAGCAUGCGAUACAUUAAAUAAAAAAAGUCAACAUUUAUUUGUCAGUAUCACGAAUCAGAAAUCGAAAAAAUUUGGUGAACGAUGUAAACCACUAUUAUCUUCAUAUAAUUCUAUAUUUAUUACAUAUUACAACUGGAUAUAUGCAAGAUAUAAAAGAAGUGAAGUAUAUGAAGCAGAAGAAAGACAUGUUAUAUAUUAUGAAACGAGUAAUCAAUCCCUACAAAUGACUAAAAAUACGGUUUGGUUUUGUGAAGAUGGUAAUUUUCUUGCUUAUAAUCGCGCAGACAACGGUACCAUUAAAAAGGAUGAAAAGAUUGUGGGAAAUAAUUACACUUUUAUUAAAUCUAUUGCUCAUUGCGAUGAUUAUAUUAUAAGUGGCGACGUGUAUUAUUAAACACUGGAGAAUUGAAUCAGGAAAGGACAGAAGAAAUAAUCUUAAAUAUUCAGAAAUACAUGAUGUAGAUACAAAAAUUGAUUUCAUAGACGCAACAUCACAACACAUUACAUCUGCUUCUAAGAAUUUAAUAAAGAUACUGAAAUAUACAGACGAUAAAAAAGGUUGUACGGAAGAAAAGCAAAUAUUUUGUGGAGUCGACGUGGAACAACCUGAAGACUAUUGUUUUGACGACCAAAUUUAUGUAACAUCAAUCUCAUUUGACCCUAUAGGAACAAAAUUUGCUGCUAGUUUCAAUGAUUAUGAUCAAUCAUCAUCGUCGUUUCUAAUUUAUGAUAUUGAAAAAAGUUAUCAAGUAAUGGAAAAAGAAUGUGAAGAAUCUUGUUGCCAACUACUAUGGGAAGAUCCUUACACUAUUCUUAUGUGUUUUGAGAAAUCUAUUAAAAAAAUGGAUAUGAGAGUAUCCGAUUAUGUACGUACAUGGAAUUCUUCGCAAUAUGAAUAUUCAUUUUGUUGCUCAUCGGAUAAUAUGUACACUUUUAUGACAGGGCAUUAUGAGUGUGUUCUAUGGGAUCAAAGACAGAGUGUUGCCAUUCAAACGUAUGAUGUGGUUCACUCUGUAAGUUCUAGAGGUAUAAUUUCUCUAGCAUUUGAUAGUGGCCAUAUGUAUGCUAUUACACGCAAUUUUCUUUAUGAAUUGGAUUUUACGGAAAGACACCACUUUAAGCACAAAAAAAUAAAAAAGUUAUUUGGCAAUUUUUAUUAAAUAAAAAAAAUUGGUUGAUAAUUUUUUAAAUUAUAUUUUGAAUAUUUAUAUAAAUUCAAUGAACUCUAUACAGAUUGGGAAGCGCCAUGCUACUCAAGAUGCGAUCAGACAAAGAGAUUAUUUGAAAUGUUUUGUCUCUCUCUGUUGUAGACUCUCUUCACUGAAUU
rnacentral:misc_RNA from 1 species